AAUAUUGCACAAUGGGCGCAAGCCUGAUGCAGCAACGCCGCGUGAGUGAAGAAGGCCCUUGGGUUGUAAAGCUCUUUAGCCUGGAAAGAAGUGUCCGCCGGUAAAUAAUCGGCGGAUGUGACGGUACCAGGAGAAUAAGCACCGGCUAAUUUCGUGCCAGCAGCCGCGGUAAUACGAAAGGUGCAAGCGUUACUCGGAAUCACUGGGCGUAAAGCGCGCGUAGGCGGAUUCGUAGGUCGAUUGUGAAAUACCUGGGCUCAACCCGGGAACGGCAGUCGAAACCGCGUUUCUUGAAUACCUGAGAGGGUGGGGGAAUACCUAGUGGAGAAGUGAAAUUCGUAGAGAUUAGGUGGAACACCAGAGGCGAAGGCGCCUGCCUGGCAGUGUAUUGACGCUAAAGUGCGAAAGUGCGGGGAGCAAA
rnacentral:rRNA from 1 species